GCCCGGAUGGUCUAGUGGUAUGAUUCUCGCUUUGGGCUGCACAGCGCCAAUCUGCGAGAGGCCCCGCGUUCAAACCGCGGUUCGGGCC
rnacentral:tRNA from 1 species